rnacentral:rRNA from 1 species
UACGGAGGGGGCUAGCGUUGUUCGGAAUUACUGGGCGUAAAGCGUGCGCAGGCUGUUCUGUAAGUCAGAUGUGAAAUCCCCGAGCUCAACUUGGGAACUGCGUUUGAAACUACAGGACUAGAAUAUGUCAGAGGGGGGUAGAAUUCCACGUGUAGCAGUGAAAUGCGUAGAGAUGUGGAGGAAUACCAAUGGCGAAGGCAGCCCCCUGGGAUAAUAUUGACGCUCAUGCACGAAAGCGUGGGGAGCAAACAGG